CGAACGGGUGAGUAACGCGUGAGGAACCUGCCUCAAAGAGGGGGACAACAGUUGGAAACGACUGCUAAUACCGCAUAAGCCCACGGGUCGGCAUCGACCUGAGGGAAAAGGAGCAAUCCGCUUUGAGAUGGCCUCGCGUCCGAUUAGCUAGUUGGUGAGGUAACGGCCCACCAAGUCGACGAUCAGUAGCCGGACUGAGAGGUUGACCGGCCACAUUGGGACUGAGAUACGGCCCAG
rnacentral:rRNA from 1 species